GAAUUUUCGGCAAUGGGGGGAACCCUGACCGAGCAACGCCGCGUGAACGAAGAAGUUAUUCGUAAUGUAACGUUCUUUUAUUUGCGAAGAAGAAAGUGACGGUACCUGAUGAAUAAGCCACGGCUAACUACGUGCCAGCAGCCGCGGUAAUACGUAGGUGGCAAGCGUUAUCCGGAUUUACUGGGUGUAAAGGGCGUGUAGGCGGGAAAGCAAGUCAGAUGUGAAAACCAUGGGCUCAACCUGUGGCCUGCAUUUGAAACUGUUUUUCUUGAGUACUGGAGAGGCAGACGGAAUUCCUAGUGUAGCGGUGAAAUGCGUAGAUAUUAGGAGGAACACCAGUGGCGAAGGCGGUCUGCUGGACAGCAACUGACGCUGAGGCGCGAAAGCGUGGGGAGCAAACAG
rnacentral:rRNA from 1 species